UGGCGGACGGGUGAGUAACGCGUAGGUAUCUGUCCUCGGGUGGGGGGAGUAACCGUGGGAAACUACGGCUAAUACCGCAUGACACCUGUGGGUCAAAGGCGCAAGUCGCCUGGGGAGGAGCCUGCGUCCGAUUAGCUAGUUGGCGGGGUAAUGGCCCACCAAGGCCGCGAUCGGUAGCUGGUCUGAGAGGAUGAUCAGCCACACUGGGACUGAGACACGGCCCAG
rnacentral:rRNA from 1 species